rnacentral:rRNA from 1 species
AAGAGUACGUGAAACCGUUCAGGGGUAAACCUGUGAAACCCAAAAGAUCGAAUGAGGAGAUUCAUCGUCAGCGUAUUCAGUAUUAAUGCAGGCUAUGAUGUGAUAAUAGAAUCCUCGUGGUCACUAGAUUAUACUUGCUUGUAUUAUUUUUGCUGGGUAUGUCGGCGUGCACUUCUCCUCUAGUAGAACGUCGCAACCCGUUGGAUGUUUAUCUAUGGCCUGAUUGGUAGCCUUUGAUAUUUAUUAUAUCGAAGACCUUUUGGUGUCCUGAUAAACUGUCUGACGGUAUACAUACAGUAUUGAGCCGCAAUUAUUUGCGUUAGACUUAUCGCAAGUAAGGCUUUAUUCUGGUAGUGCGGAUUUAAUGCCGUCGCUGGACAAAGUCUGCUGUUAGCUGUGUAAUGUCUUUAACUGGCUUAUUUACUGGUUAGCGAUGCUACUGCUUUGGGUAC